rnacentral:rRNA from 1 species
GACGAACGCUGGCGGCGUACUUAACACAUGCAAGUCGUACGGUAAGGCCCUUUCGGGGGUACACAAGUGGCGAACGGGUGAGUAACACGUGAGUAACCUGCCCACAACUUUGGGAUAACGCUAGGAAACUGGUGCUAAUACUGGAUAUGUGCCCCUGCUGCAUGGUGGGGGUUGGAAAGCUCCGGCGGUUGUGGAUGGACUCGCGGCCUAUCAGCUUGUUGGUGGGGUAGUGGCCUACCAAGGCGGCGACGGGUAGCCGGCCUGAGAGGGUGACCGGCCACAUUGGGACUGAGAUACGGCCCAGACUCCUACGGGAGGCAGCAGUGGGGAAUAUUGCACAAUGGGCGCAAGCCUGAUGCAGCAACGCCGCGUGCGGGAUGACGGCCUUCGGGUUGUAAACCGCUUUCAGCAGGGACGAAGCUUUUUGUGACGGUACCUGCAGAAGAAGCACCGGCUAACUACGUG